CUCAUUUGUGAAAAAUUCAAUAUGCUGACUAACAUAUAACGUCCAUGGCUUUUCUGGGAACUUUCCUCAUACCGUCAUAUUGUUUUGAGCACACCGCGAAGCCGCAGCCAGAUCUUCUGCCGCCCUGUUAAAGGAGGCCCUGACAUUCGCCGGAGACAGCUCAUCAAACAGCCUGUUGCUAAUUGUCCGCGAAGACCCAGAUCACCCAUGUCACGCUCAUGCGGAGUUGCUCGAGGACAGCCCUGUAACCCUGAGUGAUGUAGAGCCGGUCAUCUUUAACAAACUCUGAUGUGAGAGAGAUGGCAAUGAAGGCAAGGCAAAGAAUCUUAAAGACUACAAUGUAGCUCCUGGAAUAUAUAUUGCAUCAAUAAAGUAAGAAAAAAAAAAACCCAGCGACAAUUUAUCAAUUUUAGCCGGCACCACUGAGGCUGUUUUGGCCAUGAUGUGCACCUGUGUUUGGGGAAUGAAACUGCUGAAGGCUCUGCUGCAGUGACUCCAGAGCACCAGACUGAGUUAUACCGAUGGGCCUGCUGUGCUUCUAUGCAGAUAAUUCUCCAGCUCUACGUAUAGAUGGUUGUGGUUUAAGAGCAAGGACUGUUUAUGUCUCAAUCAUCCUUACUGUGUCACAAAUGGACUUCUAUACCUCACAGAUUAUAUUGGCACUGAA